rnacentral:rRNA from 1 species
AGCAGCCGCGGUAAUUCCAGCUCCAAUAGCGUAUAUUAAAGUUGUUGCAGUUAAAAAGCUCGUAGUUGAAUUUCGGGGUUAGUAGGUUGGUCGUGCCACCGGUAUGUACUGGCUCUACUGAUCCCUCCUUCUUGUAGAACCGUAAUGCCAUUAACUUGGUGUUGCGGGGAAACAGGACUGUUACUUUGAAAAAAUUAGAGUGUUUAAAGCAGGCUAACGCUUGAAUACAUUAGCAUGGAAUAAUGAAAUAGGACGCUCGAUCCUAUUUUGUUGGUUUCUAGGAUUGACGUAAUGAUUAAUAGGGAUAGUUGGGGGCAUUAGUAUUCAAUUGUCAGAGGUGAAAUUCUUGGAUUUAUUGAAGACUAACUACUGCGAAAGCAUUUGCCAAGGAUGUUUUCAUUAAUCAAGAACGAAAGUUAGGGGAUCGAAGACGAUCAGAUACCGUCGUAGUCUUAACCAUAAACUAUGCCGACUGGGGAUCGGAUGAUGUAAUUUUUAAUGACUCAUUCGGCGCCUUACG